CAAUAGCGUAUAUUUAAGUUGUUGCAGUUAAAAAGCUCGUAGUCGGAUUUUGGCUGAGAACGAACGGUCCGCCGUUAGGUGUGCACUGCUUGGUCUCAGCUUCCUGGUGAGGAGGUGUGCUUCACGGCCACUUAGUCACCGUGGUUACUUUGAAAAAAUUAGAGUGUUCAAAGCGGGCUUACGCUUGAAUAUAUUAGCAUGGAAUAACACCAUAGGACUCCUGUCCUAUUUCGUUGGUCUCGGGACGGGAGUAAUGAUUAAGAGGAACAGUUGGGGGCAUUCGUAUUUCAUUGUCAGAGGUGAAAUUCUUGGAUUUAUGAAAGACGAACUUCUGCGAAAGCAUUUGCCAAGGAUGUUUUCAUUGA
rnacentral:rRNA from 1 species